GAUGAACGCUGGCGGCGUGCCUAAUACAUGCAAGUCGAGCGAACAGACGAGGAGCUUGCUCCUCUGACGUUAGCGGCGGACGGGUGAGUAACACGUGGAUAACCUACCUAUAAGACUGGGAUAACUUCGGGAAACCGGAGCUAAUACCGGAUAAUAUAUUGAACCGCAUGGUUCAAUAGUGAAAGACGGUUUUGCUGUCACUUCUAGAUGGAUCCGCGCCGCAUUAGCUAGUUGUUAAGGUAACGGCUUACCAAGGCAACGAUGCGUAGCCGACCUGAGAGGGUGAUCGGCCACACUGGAACUGAGACACGGUCCAGACUCCUACGGGAGGCAGCAGUAGGGAAUCUGCCGCAAUGGGCGAAAGCCUGACGGAGCAACGCCGCGUGAGUGAUGAAGGUCUUCGGAUCGUAAAACUCUGUUAUUAGGGAAGAACAAAUGUGUAAGUAACUAUGCACGUCUUGACGGUACCUAAUCAGAAAGCCACGGCUAACUACGUG
rnacentral:rRNA from 1 species